rnacentral:siRNA from 1 species
UUGUUGAUCGGAUGGUAGAA